rnacentral:misc_RNA from 1 species
GAUGAAGAACGUAGCGAAAUGCGAUACGUAAUGUGAAUUGCAGAAUUCAGUGAAUCAUCGAAUCUUUGAACGCAUAUUGCGCUCUCUGGUAUUCCGGAGAGCAUGCUUGUUUGAGUAUCAGUAAACACCUCAACUUCCAUAUCUUUUUUGAAAUGGGAGUUGGACUUGAGUGAUCCCAACGCUUUUCCUCACCGAAAAGUGGCGGGUUACUUGAAAUGCGGGUGCAGCUGGACUUUUCUCUGAGCUAUAAGCAUAUCUAUUUAGUCUGCCUAAAAACAGAUUAUUACCUUUGCUGCAGCUAACAUAAAGGAGAUUAGUUCUUGUGCUGACUGAUGCAGGAUUCACAAAGACAGGCUUCGGCCGACUUUGUAAACUCGAUCUCAAAUCAAGUAAGACUACCCGCUGAACUUAAGCAUAUCAAUAAGCGGAGGA